UACGUAGGGUGCAAGCGUUAAUCGGAAUUACUGGGCGUAAAGCGUGCGCAGGCGGUGCCGCAAGUCAGGCGUGAAAUCCCCGAGCUCAACUUGGGAAUUGCGCUUGAAACUACGGUGCUGGAGUAUGGCAGAGGGAGGUGGAAUUCCACGUGUAGCGGUGAAAUGCGUAGAGAUGUGGAGGAAUACCGAUGGCGAAGGCAGCCCCUGGCCAAUACUGACGCUCAUGCACGAAAGCGUGGGGAGCAAACAGG
rnacentral:rRNA from 1 species